UACAGAGGGUGCGAGCGUUGUCCGGAAUCAUUGGGCGUAAAGCGCGUGUAGGCGGCCCGGUAAGUCCGCUGUGAAAGUCGGGGGCUCAACCCUCGAAAGCCGGUGGAUACUGUCGGGCUCGAGUACGGGAGAGGCGAGUGGAAUUCCUGGUGUAGCGGUGAAAUGCGCAGAUAUCAGGAGGAACACCGAUUGCGAAGGCAGCUCGCUGGAACGUUACUGACGCUGAGACGCGAAAGCGUGGGGAGCAAACAGG
rnacentral:rRNA from 1 species